rnacentral:rRNA from 1 species
CAAUAGCGUAUAUUAAAGUUGUUGCAGUUAAAAAACUCGUAGUUGGAUUUCUGGUGGGAGCGAUCGGUCUGGCGCUUAGCGCGAGUACUUGCAUCGUCUCCGGCCAUCCUUGGGGAGAGUCUGUCUGGCAUUAGGUUGUCGGGCAGAGGAUCCUCAUCGUUUACUGUGAAAAAAUUAGAGUGUUCAAAGCAGGCUUAUGCCGUUGAAUAUAUUAGCAUGGAAUAAUAAGAUAGGACUUUGGUACUAUUUUGUUGGUUUGCGCACCAAAGUAAUGAUUAAUAGGGAAAGUUGGGGGUAUUCGUAUUCCGUUGUCAGAGGUGAAAUUCUUGGAUUUACGGAAGACGAACUACUGCGAAAGCAUUUACCAAGGAUGUUUUCAUUAA